AAAGUCGUAACAAGGUCUCCGUAGGUGAACCUGCGGAGGGAUCAUUAUUGGAUACAAAACUAUAAAGAGUUUUGACAUUUCUUUUCUUGUGUAAAAGCAAGGGGGGGGUGUCAAGCUCUUUCAAACAAACGAUCACAACUAGUCAAUGACAGACAGGAAUUCGAGGGGUCAAUAUAAAAGUGUUUGCCUGAUAAUACAAUUGAUUUGGAAAACAAUAUACAACUUUCAACAACGGAUCUCUUGGCUCUC
rnacentral:misc_RNA from 1 species